rnacentral:lncRNA from 1 species
CGUACCAUAGGACUCUCGUUGCCUCCAUCGCAUCUGUUUUCCUUGCAUCGACUCUUGAAAUUUCAACCGUCAUGGCCAACCUCAUCACUGUUUUUCUGACAUGCGUCAUCGCUGCUGUGGUCCUGAUGGAUUCGGCGCUCGCCUUACGUAGGGACGGGAAGGAAUUGCUGCCCAACGAUGAAGCCUAAGGCUGAUGCAAGAAGACAGCAGCCACGAAGUUGGCUAUUAUGCUCUAUUAUGCAUACUUAUACUGAGCUGACCAGGAAAACACGCAUAUAAUAAUGAAGUGAGCACGUACAGCUAUAAGCCGUCUGCAUUUCUUAUUAGGGCUACCACACUUACAGUCUAAUUCAUCGCACUAGUGCACUUUAUUACCUUCGCAGAGUACAGCCACGUGUUUGUUAUUUCUGUGUGCAAUGGUGUGACAUUAUGUGGCGCGUCUCAUCGUCACGCUACAUGUAACAAGCUGAUUGUGCCGCAGACGCUAUCAGGUUGACUGUGUACGGGAAAUAUUGUGGAACUACCGGACAAUGCACCUAACCUACCGUUCCAAAAAUGUAUCUGGAAAAGUGAUAGAAAAGUUGUCGGUCAAAGUCAACAAAAUGUAUUGAAAGUAGGUUGAGUGGUCUUCAGACACUCUUGAUGAUUUUGUUGGCGAGUGUUGAUAAUUGGCUCAUUAGAUCUCGUUGAAAAACAUUUUAUCCAUUUCAGUAUUAUGAAUCGUUUUAAUAUUGACAUAACAAUAAUGGCAACAAAGCCUAGCGAAACUCCAUUGAAUCACUGUGACAUUUCAAUCUGAGAAUAUGUUACUUUACAGCUGCCAACAUAUGGAAAGUCAACGUUGAAAUAAUAUUGAAGAUCGAUUGAACUGCUGUACCAAUUGUAUAAAGUGGUGUUGAAAUUUGCCCGAACUUUUCAUAAAAUACUGUCCAAGUAUACUG